AGAGUUUGAUCAUGGCUCAGAAUCAACGCUGGCGGCGUGCCUAACACAUGCAAGUCGAGCGAGAAAAGGGGAGCAAUCCUCUGAGUAAAGCGGCGCACGGGUGAGUAACACGUGGGUAAUCUGCCCUGGAGUGGGGAAUAACACCGGGAAACCGGUGCUAAUACCGCAUACGAUCACGAGGUCUGCGGACUUUGUGAUGAAAGGAGCAAUUCGCUCUAGGAGGAGCCCGCGGCUGAUUAGCUAGUUGGUGAGGUAAUGGCUCACCAAGGCUCCGAUCAGUAUCCGGUCUGAGAGGACGGUCGGACACACUGGAACUGAGACACGGUCCAGACUCCUACGGGAGGCAGCAGUGGGGAAUUUUUCGCAAUGGGGGCAACCCUGACGAAGCAACGCCGCGUGGGUGAUGAAGUAUCUCGGUACGUAAAACCCUUUCGACGGGGAAGAAAACCGCAAGGUUUGACGGUACCCGUAGAAGAAGCCCCGGCUAACUCCGUGCCAGCAGCCGCGGUAAUACGGGGGGGGCAAGCGUUGUUCGGAAUUACUGGGCGUAAAGGGUGCGUAGGCGGUCCGCUAAGUUAGAUGUGAAAACUCUGGGCUUAACCCAGAGCCUGCAUCUAAUACUGACGGGCUAGAGUUCUGGAGGGGAUAGCGGAAUUCCUGGUGUAGCGGUGAAAUGCGUAGAUAUCAGGAGGAACACCGGUGGCGAAGGCGGCUAUCUGGACAGAGUCUGACGCUGAGGCACGAAAGCUAGGGGAGCAAACAGGAUUAGAUACCCCCGUAGUCC
rnacentral:rRNA from 1 species